AUAGCUCAGAAAUUCAGCCCUUGACUAUAAAUGGAGAUCCAAGUAGAAGCUGGUGGCUAGUUUUAAAUUUCUAGGCGUUAUGAUUAAAGAAAGGACUUGACCUGGAAGUACAGACUGCCGCAGGUGGUUCAAGAAGGCCCAGCAAAGACUGGAGCCGCCUCAUCCCCG